GAUGAACGCUGGCGGCGUGCCUAAUACAUGCAAGUCGAGCGAACAGACGAGGAGCUUGCUCCUCUGACGUUAGCGGCGGACGGGUGAGUAACACGUGGAUAACCUACCUAUAAGACUGGGAUAACUUCGGGAAACCGGAGCUAAUACCGGAUAAUAUAUUGAACCGCAUGGUUCAAUAGUGAAAGACGGUUUUGCUGUCACUUAUAGAUGGAUCCGCGCCGCAUUAGCUAGUUGGUAAGGUAACGGCUUACCAAGGCAACGAUGCGUAGCCGACCUGAGAGGGUGAUCGGCCACACUGGAACUGAGACACGGUCCAGACUCCUACGGGAGGCAGCAGUAGGGAAUCUUCCGCAAUGGGCGAAAGCCUGACGGAGCAACGCCGCGUGAGUGAUGAAGGUCUUCGGAUCGUAAAACUCUGUUAUUAGGGAAGAACAAAUGUGUAAGUAACUAUGCACGUCUUGACGGUGCCUAAUCAGAAAGCCACGGCUAACUACGAG
rnacentral:rRNA from 1 species